rnacentral:rRNA from 1 species
GGGGAAUUUUCCGCAAUGGGCGCAAGCCUGACGGAGCAAUACCGCGUGGGGGAGAAAGGCCCUUGGGUUGUAAACCCCUUUUGUCAGGGAAGAACACAAUGACGGUACCUGACGNNUCAGCCUCGGCUAACUCCGUGCCAGCAGCCGCGGUAAGACGGAGGAGGCAAGCGUUAUCCGGAAUCAUUGGGCGUAAAGCGUCCGUAGGUGGCCCCUCAAGUCUGCUGUUAAAGCCCAGGGCUCAACCCUGGAGAAGCAGUGGAAACUGGAGGGCUAGAGUGCGGUAGGGGUAGAGGGAAUUCCCGGUGUAGCGGUGAAAUGCGUAGAGAUCGGGAAGAACACCAGUGGCGAAAGCGCUCUGCUGGACCGCAACUGACACUGAGGGACGAAAGCUAGGGGAGCGAAUGGGAUUAGAUACCCCAGUAGUC